GACGAGCGCUGGCGGCGUGCUUAACACAUGCAAGUCGAACGCUGAAGCUCAGCUUUUGUUGGGUGGAUGAGUGGCGAACGGGUGAGUAACACGUGAGUAACCUGCCCCCUUCUUUGGGAUAACGCCCGGAAACGGGUGCUAAUACUGGAUAUUCACUGGUCUUCGCAUGGGGGUUGGUGGAAAGGGUUUUUCUGGUGGGGGAUGGGCUCGCGGCCUAUCAGCUUGUUGGUGGGGUGAUGGCCUACCAAGGCUUUGACGGGUAGCCGGCCUGAGAGGGUGACCGGUCACAUUGGGACUGAGAUACGGCCCAGACUCCUACGGGAGGCAGCAGUGGGGAAUAUUGCACAAUGGGCGCAAGCCUGAUGCAGCGACGCCGCGUGAGGGAUGGAGGCCUUCGGGUUGUGAACCUCUUUCGCUCAUGGUCAAGCCGCAACAAUGGUUGUGGUGAGGGUAGUGGGUAAAGAAGCGCCGGCUAACUACGUG
rnacentral:rRNA from 1 species